AUGCAACGCGAAGAACCUUACCUGGUCUUGUACAUCCCGGAGACCCUUAGGAAACUAGGGGUGCUCCAUCUGGAAGAAUCUGGAGACAGGUGCUGCAUGGCUGUCGUCAGCUCGUGUCGUGAGAUGUUGGGUUAAGUCCCGCAACGAGCGCAACCCUUGCCUUUAGUUGCCAGCAGUUCGGCUGGGCACUCUAAAGGGACUGCCGGUGUUAAACCGGAGGAAGGUGGGGAUGACGUCAAGUCCUCAUGGCCUUUAUGACCAGGGCUACACACGUACUACAAUGGCCGAUACAAAGGGCAGCGACACUGCGAGGUGAAGCCAAUCCCGUAAAAUCGGUCUCAGUCCGGAUUGGAGUCUGCAACUCGACUCCAUGAAGUUGGAAUCGUUAGUAAUCGUGGAUCAGCAUGCCACGGUGAAUACGUUCCCGGGCCUU
rnacentral:rRNA from 1 species